UGCAAGUCGAGCGGAUGAGAAGAGCUUGCUCUUCGAUUCAGCGGCGGACGGGUGAGUAAUGCCUAGGAAUCUGCCUGGUAGUGGGGGACAACGUUUCGAAAGGAACGCUAAUACCGCAUACGUCCUACGGGAGAAAGCAGGGGACCUUCGGGCCUUGCGCUAUCAGAUGAGCCUAGGUCGGAUUAGCUAGUUGGUGAGGUAAUGGCUCACCAAGGCGACGAUCCGUAACUGGUCUGAGAGGAUGAUCAGUCACACUGGAACUGAGACACGGUCCAGACUCCUACGGGAGGCAGCAGUGGGGAAUAUUGGACAAUGGGCGAAAGCCUGAUCCAGCCAUGCCGCGUGUGUGAAGAAGGUCUUCGGAUUGUAAAGCACUUUAAGUUGGGAGGAAGGGCAUUAACCUAAUACGUUAGUGUUUUGACGUUACCGACAGAAUAAGCACCGGCUAACUCUGUGCCAGCAGCCGCGGUAAUACAGAGGGUGCAAGCGUUAAUCGGAAUUACUGGGCGUAAAGCGCGCGUAGGUGGUUUGUUAAGUUGGAUGUGAAAGCCCCGGGCUCAACCUGGGAACUGCAUCCAAAACUGGCAAGCUAGAGUACGGUAGAGGGUGGUGGAAUUUCCUGUGUAGCGGUGAAAUGCGUAGAUAUAGGAAGGAACACCAGUGGCGAAGGCGACCACCUGGACUGAUACUGACACUGAGGUGCGAAAGCGUGGGGAGCAAACAGGAUUAGAUACCCUGGUAGUCCACGCCGUAAACGAUGUCAACUAGCCGUUGGAAUCCUUGAGAUUUUAGUGGCGCAGCUAACGCAUUAAGUUGACCGCCUGGGGAGUACGGCCGCAAGGUUAAAACUC
rnacentral:rRNA from 1 species